GCUCGAGCCAACAUGGAGGGUCGGAGCUCGGCGCGCGACCGAGCGGCUCUCAGGACAACCUGGCAAGGGUUGCAAUGAAGGAAGAAAGGGAUAUAUAUAUCUCUAUCUAUUUUAAACCUCAGAACCUUUCUCUCUCUAUCUCUUUUUUAAAAUCGUUUAACUCGAGGAAGAAUAAAAAUUUUUGUUGAGUCGUGAUUUGAGGAAGCCAUGAGCUCGGGGGAAGGAGAGGACGUGUGUAAGGACGGAGCCGAUGUAGCGGCGCACUUCAGAGCCGGUGAACGUCUGACCUGGAAAAUUAACGUGACUGCAGCAGAAGUAACCCUACCACUGGAGGGAGAACAAUGUGUUUCAAAUGUUAUAGAUGCAGAAGAAUGGAUUGGUACUUGUACAGUACACACGAUGUACUGUACAUAACGUAAUUCCACCAGCUCAUGACCGUUGGGCUAAGCUUCUCUUUACAUGACAGUGACU
ensembl:lncRNA